CCAGGUCUUGACAUCCCGAUGCUAUUCUAGAGAUAGAAAGUUACUUCGGUACAUCGGUGACAGGUGGUGCAUGGUUGUCGUCAGCUCGUGUCGUGAGAUGUUGGGUUAAGUCCCGCAACGAGCGCAACCCCUAUUGUUAGUUGCCAUCAUUCAGUUGGGCACUCUAGCGAGACUGCCGGUAAUAAACCGGAGGAAGGUGGGGAUGACGUCAAAUCAUCAUGCCCCUUAUGACCUGGGCUACACACGUGCUACAAUGGUUGGUACAACGAGUUGCGAGUCGGUGACGGCGAGCUAAUCUCUUAAAGCCAAUCUCAGUUCGGAUUGUAGGCUGCAACUCGCCUACAUGAAGUCGGAAUCGCUAGUAAUCGCGGAUCAGCACGCCGCGGUGAAUACGUUCCCGGGCCUU
rnacentral:rRNA from 1 species